GGGAGGGACGUGGGGGCUUCGCACGGUGCAGCCCCGGGGGUGCAGGGGCGGCAGCGGGACCCCCCUGAGGGCAGCCCGGGGGCACCGCCGCCCUCCCCGCUGGGCACGAAGCUCGACGCUGAGGGAAACUUCAGUUAAAAAACAGUAAUGAAACGCCUCGAGUAGUGCGAAAGGAGUGUUGGAAAUCCAAGGUUUGGGGACGUGGUUGGGUCUCUCUGCAGCCCCACAGCAAGAACAGCCCGGAGGAAAAGAUGGGAAUUUGGAAACGGGGCACCUCGCCUGGAUGGGAUUGAUGGAAAUGCACCUUCAUCCCUUCAGGGUUUGCAAGUUCAGUGACAGCAGAUUAGUGCUUAGAAAGAUGUUCAGGAGCUGAAACGCUCCUAAGACCUGUUGGUUCUCAGAUCCUGCACGUUGAAACCAUAGUUACAUCUUUUAUUUCAAGAAGGAAAGAUAAAGCCUUCUGUUGUUCUGGUGACUAAAGCAGAAUUAAAUAACCCAGCUGGAAAUAUUGGGGCUUCUGUGUUUUUCUGCUGCUGAGGAGGCUGUUGGAGCAGCUGCAAUUGAAGCAGCUCCUGCAUCCCUGUUCUAAAGGAGCAAACAAGCUCCAGGGAAGGGGAAUGGAAAAACAUUCCACUUGACAUGUAGCAGAAAACCCUGUGUACCUUCUGCUCAGCUGCAUCAUCCUGACAUUGCUCUUCCUGAAGGUGGAAAGAGAUGGUUAUGGCAUUUAGCAGCAUCAUGGGGGUUAAUCUCACUCAGAUUUGCUGACCAGGGAGGGCAACAAAGAAAAAUAUGAGCUCUCUCCCAAAGCAUGUGCAGUCCAAGCAUAGCACUGCACAUUUAGUAACUCCCCAAAAAUGGUAAGAAAGGAUAUUAAUUAAUUAAUUCUUGAACCAGGCUUUAAAAUCAAGGGGUUCUGAUUGCCUUUUCUCUCCGUUUCCACUGCAGGGAGACUCUGCCUGUGCUUACAGUUUUAAGAGGUAUCUAGAGAUGCAGCCAAGCACCAAAGCAGGACAGGAGCUGAGGCAGAGAUGUCCAUCAGGACAUGUUUUCACAGAAAUCAUUGUGUGUGAUGACUCCACCCUGCAAUUUAGCUGAUUUGAGUCAUGGAAUAAUUGAAAUCUUCGUCUUGGUCAGCUCUGUGUGGAGAUGAAGGACAGCAAAAGCUUGUGUCCAUCACCAUCUGACGUGUCUCUGCAGGACAGGCCACUUUCCCAGGCAGGUGAGGGGGCAGGAGUGGCUCGUUUUCCUUCAGUUCCUGCCCUGCUUGGAUCAGCCAAGCUCAGGGAUGAGGAAGUGCCCGGCACAGCCCGGCUUUUGUAACUGCUCCUUUCGUUUGGAAAUGUUAUCAAAACAAACAGAUGCCGGCAGGAUGAGCGUUAAGACCUGUGCAGAGUCUGAGUUCAGAGGGAGCUUUGCCUGCUGAAACAUUUCACCCAGCAGCUCGUUAAAAUGCAGAUAUUCCAAGGAGACUUCCCCACCUCCCCCAUUAGAUCAGUCCUGCGAUAAGAGCAUAUUUUCCCACCAAUAAAAUGAACGAGCCUGGAGGGCAGGGAAGGUUAUUUUGCCUGGAAUAAGUUAUAUCCCACGCUUCCCCUUAAUUGUGGCUGAGGAACCAGUUCACUCCUGAGAACAAGCCAGAGACCAACCUCUGCCAGCACAACUGGCAAAGAGGGAUUUCUUCCCUCUUUGUGCUGCUUUAUUUGGGGUAUAAUCCCUGUGGAUGCAGUCACAGGAGUGCUGCAGGAGGGACACAGGGAGGUCCAGCCCUGGCAGAGCUGCUUUUGCCAGGCUGUUUAUUUGAGCAGCAGGAGCCUCGUGCUUUCUGCCCACGAGCCACCCGUGUCUGAACCAAUAUUUACUCAGGGCUCUGUGCACUGGGAUCGUCAGCAAUCCCUGCAGUGAGAGCAGGGCUGGAACCAGCCACCAGGCCAGAUUAGCAGCUUGGCUUGUUUACAUUUUUGAAAAAAAAAACAACCCUUGAAUUCCAGGCUGAGGGAAAGGUGGCAGCUCAGCAGCUCCGGGAGCCUUUACCCACACACAGCAGAGCUCUCCCUGCAACAGCCCACCCAGAAAAUCCCCUCUGGGCAGCAGAGCCCGACCUGUGCAGGCCUUGGCACCUCCCUAAAGGGACAGACCUGCUCUGUGACAACCCAAAAUCCAAAGAACAGGUGCUUUCAUGAUGUCCCCAAGGGCCUGACAGCAAACUGCCACCAAAGGAGGCACCGAGCUGCCAACACGCUGAGGAGGGGAGGCUUCAAACUGCAGGCAGCUCUAUUUCAGUACUAGAAUUUUCCAGUUUUCCCACAGGUUUUUAUUUAUGAAGCUGUUCUAGCUUACAAAUUAACUUACCCUGCCUCCUGCUUGUUAUUAACCUGAGAUUUGAAGGGUUCAUUGCUCGUGGAAAGGUGUGACCACAGCACUCGGUGUUUUACAGCCACGCUCCCGAGAGCAUCACAACACCUGUCCUGGGGUUUCCAGAGAAACCAGGUUUUUGGGAGCUGUUUAUUCUCACAGUUUGUGUCUGUAAGCCCACAAUCUCACACAGAUAUCCUAAUUCAACCCACAGAAUCAGGGGCAGCCUUGUUUUAGGGGAGGUAAAAAGCCCACUCCGUGCAGAGCUGAGCGUGUGCUCAGAGCUCUUAAUGAGACCAACAGAUUUCCUGAGGUGCUGACAGAUAAAGAGGUGGCCCAGGGAAGGCAAGAAUCCUUGAAAUGGCUGUUCAGGAUUGGAGCCAUGACCUAGUUAGUCUGAUUUCCUGCUCCCAGUGACUUUUACCAAGUAGUUCAGGUGAUGAGCUGAAAACCUCCUGCCUCAGAGAUGGGGGAAGAGACAGGGAGUGGCUGUGGCGGCUGAAAAUAAACUGGACAGGAGUUAAGAAUUGGUGCUGAAAUCUGUUUUCUGGGGUAUUUUAGCUACUGAAGCUGUUACUUUUUUCCUCUGGACGUCUAUCUGGUCCCCACAUAAAUGUUUGUCCCUUCCUGGGUCAGGGUUUCCCUGCUGGGUAAGUCCUUUCCCAUUGCAAUGGUGCUCUGCCUUCCUGGUGCUUCCCUGGACUUUUGUCCUACAGCACAAUAACUUCCCAGCUCACAGUUCCUCAUUCCCUGUGACGUUUCCAUGUUUGUUUGGCUUCACACACAGACACAUCCUGGAUCCCUGAGUGCCUUGGGAGCCAAGGGUCAUGGACAUUCCAGCUGGGAAGUCUCAGCCCACCUUCAGGCUCUGGGCUCCUUGGGGAGGGAAAUGUAAUCAGCUGUUCCUCAAGGAACAGGACGGGACAGGAAGCAGUGGGAGCCAGCAGGUCAGGCCUUAACAGCUGUCAGGACAGUGUG